rnacentral:rRNA from 1 species
GCCAGCCCGCUCAGAAACUCAAAGGAAGUUGACGGGGCCCGCACAAGCGGUGGAGUAUGUGGUUUAAUUCGAUGCAACGCGAAGAACCUUACCUGGUCUUGACAUCCCGGAGACCCUUAGGAAACUAGGGGGUGCUUCCAUCUGGAAGAAUCUGGAGACAGGUGCUGCAUGGCUGUCGUCAGCUCGUGUCGUGAGAUGUUGGGUUAAGUCCCGCAACGAGCGCAACCCUUGCCUUUAGUUGCCAGCAGUUCGGCUGGGCACUCUAAAGGGACUGCCGGUGUUAAACCGGAGGAAGGUGGGGAUGACGUCAAGUCCUCAUGGCCUUUAUGACCAGGGCUACACACGUACUACAAUGGCCGAUACAAAGGGCAGCGACACUGCGAGGUGAAGCCAAUCCCGUAAAAUCGGUCUCAGUCCGGAUUGGAGUCUGCAACUCGACUCCAUGAAGUUGGAAUCGCUAGUAAUCGUGGAUCAGCAUGCCACGGUGAAUACGUUCCCGGGCCUU